CUCUGCACUGCGCAAACUCACAUCGUCCGGGGGCAGGCAGUGUUUUGAAAUAACACAAGAUGUCUGCCGGAACAGCGCUAACGACGAACGAGCGUCAUAUUCGAGACAAUAACUACAACAACAAUCUUCCAGAGGACCGAAUGGACGUUGAACUUGACACAGGACACAACGUAACGGACCGGGAAGACUUGGACACUGGAAUACAAGCCACUUGUUCAUCUAACGGCAGUGGCGGGGAGGAGGAUGAGUCGGAGUCCAUUGAUCGGGAAAGAGAAGCCGGGGGCUCGAUUCCUCAGCGCAACGGGGAAGGAGUGUUGUUGGGCAGGGAGCAAGAGGUGUCAGUCGAAAUCGGAGAGACGUAUUUAUGUCAGCGAGCCGACAAGACAUGGCAUUCUGCUGAGGUUAUCCAGUCCAGGCUGAACGAACAGGAGGGCAGAGAGGAGUUCUACGUACACUAUGUUGGAUUUAACAGACGUUUGGAUGAGUGGGUGGGCAAGGCUCGCCUGGCACUGACCAAGACGGCGAAGGACGCAGUGACAAAAAUCGCCGAGGGUGGUGGAGGGGGCGAGCUGGGCGAGCAGCCUGAGAGGAAGAUCACCCGCAACCAGAAACGCAAACAUGAUGAGAUCAACCACGUGCAGAAGACAUAUGCAGAGAUGGACCCCACCACAGCUGCCUUGGAGAAGGAGCAUGAGGCGAUCACUAAAGUGAAGUACGUGGACAAGAUCCAGAUUGGAAACUUUGAGAUUGACGCCUGGUACUUCUCCCCAUUCCCAGAGGACUACGGCAAGCAGCCCAAGCUGUGGAUCUGCGAGUACUGCCUCAAGUACAUGAAGUACGAGAAGACCUUCAGAUACCACCUGUCCCAAUGUCAGUGGAGGCAGCCUCUUGGGAAAGAAAUCUACAGGCGGAGCAACAUCUCUGUGUACGAAGUGGACGGACGUGACCAUAAGAUCUACUGCCAGAACCUGUGUCUACUGGCCAAGCUCUUCCUGGACCACAAGACGCUGUACUUUGACGUGGAGCCUUUUGUCUUUUACAUUCUGACUGAAGUCAACAGGCAGGGAGCACACAUAGUGGGAUACUUCUCCAAAGAGAAAGAGUCUCCAGAUGGGAAUAAUGUGGCGUGUAUCCUCACCCUCCCACCCUACCAGCGCAGAGGAUACGGAAAGUUCCUCAUAGCCUUCAGCUAUGAGCUGUCUAAAUUGGAGAGUACGGUGGGUUCUCCGGAGAAGCCCCUGUCAGACCUGGGCAAGCUGAGCUACAGGAGCUACUGGUCAUGGGUGCUGCUGGAGAUCCUCAGGGACUUCAGGGGCACGCUCUCCAUCAAGGACCUCAGGACAAUGACCGAAAUCACACCUCCAGGCUGGGUAAGGGCUAUUUGACCAAGAAGGAGAGGGAUGCAUCAGAUGACCUGGCCUCCACAAUCACUCGACCUCAACUCAAUUGAGAUGGUUUGGGAUGAGUAGGACCACAUAGUAAAGGAAAAGCAGCCAACAAGUGCUCAGCAUACAGUGGUUGCUCCACUAAAAGUUUUGCGAUUAUGCUGUGGUACUUAGAGGUCAUUUGUGGUUUAGUACGGUACCCUACAUCAUCACUUCAUUGCUCCAGACCAGCGCAAGGGGGAGUUAGAGCACUGUGUCUCUGACAGUGAGUGGGUGACAUAAACCUAAAUAGAAACUGUUAAUUGUGCUCGACUUCACACUAAGGGUUUUAUUUUGUUAUGAUUAUUUUGCUUUUACUGUAGUAAGUAUAGCCCACUCCUGACCAGUCACGUUGUACAGCGUCUGAGUGGCGCAACGGACUAAGACACUGCAUAGUUGGUCAAGCUGUGUUGCUACAGAUGUUGGUUCAAUGCCCGUGCCGGCCUCGACUGGGAGACCCGUGAAAUGACUCUAGGUUUUUGGUUUCUCUCCCUUUAAAACAGAAAUAAAUAAUUAUAAAUAACAAACUGACUAAUAACUAACUUUAUUUCCAAAUUAGUAACAUUGUCUCAUCCCAUGUUCAAGGAUGGCCUUUUUCUUGCUCAUUUUACAGUAUUUGAAAACUAAAUCCUCUACCGAAAUAUAUAUUUUAUAAUUAUUUUAAAGCCCCUUGGAUAUUCUCACAGAUAUAUUAUUAACCCUGUUAUUAGUAGGACAAUAUAUAUUGGUCAUGGCUCCUGAGUGGUGCACAAUGGGAUUGCCCUGCAGUUCUCCAGCUGUAUUUCAGUUCUCCACUGAAAGCGUUCAAGGCACAAGGGCAGGGGGCACGGGAUGGGCCGCAGAGCCGCGCACACGGACCUAGCCCAUGGGGAAAGGAGGAGGAGAGAGGGGGGUGGACCCUCACUCCGCCACACUGGGUAGCACAGAGGAACACUUUAAGGGGCAUUGCACUAAUAAUGGCGUUGAUGGGAAACGUUCCCGCUGUUCUUAGUGCCAGUCUGCACGUUCAAACUAAAACAAUGUAACUAAUAAUGACAUCUUUAUGCUUUCGUUAAUAAAAUAAUGAUUAAAUACUCUUUCAAAAUGCCAAUGUUUAUUUAGUUAUGGAUCCAUAACGAAUUACUAUGGGAAUAAAUAUCACUGAAUUACAGAAAUAUUGGAACAAAGUUGUCUAAUGAAGGUAAACAAAUUGUUGCUUACUGGAAAAUGCUCUUUCAAACACACACUGUCACGGUGUACUGCGCCAUUAUGGCUAUUAGCAGGUAGCUGGACAAUAGACUUGCCUAGAAGGUGGGUAGGGGGAGAAAUCUAUCAUCAAAUGUAUUUCUUAGUUAGGUUGGCUGUAUCACAACCUGCUGUGAUUGGUUGCAAUUUCAGUUUAAUCUACCAGAAAAGACUAAACAAAUAAUACAACAAAAUAUUAUUAUUAUGUAUCACACCCAACCGUGAUUGGGAGUCCCAUAGGGCGGUGCACAAUUGGCUCCAUGUUUCUCUCCCUCUUAAAACAGAAAUCAAUAUUUUGGCCUUUACAAACAUUAUUUUGGCCUUUAUUACAAUCACUCAUUUUAGAGUGAUUUUAUUUUAUUUAAAAAAAAUAUAUAUAUAUAUCAUUAUAUAUUAUCAAGUUGAUGCCAGUCAUAUAGCCUGCACCUACAUAAAGCUGAGUGACUCAUUCAUUCAUGGAUCAAAAUAAAUAAGUACCAACAUUCUUUCUGAUAGUCUUCUAAUAAAAACAUGUUUUGGUUAUCCUGACCUGGACAACAUGUACAGUGUUAGAACAGCCCAUUAUGGGCUGUUAGCAGGACAAUAUACCUUUACCAACGCUUCUUGUAUUUUGAUUCUUUGUGGAUGGGGCCUCCCCAGUGGUGCAGCCAAGUCACCGCAUCACAAUGCAAAAUGCAUUGCUACAGAUACCCAUGCCGCCCGCCACCGGUAGACCCAUGAGGCGGCUUUUGGUUUUAAUUUCGAAUCCUCCAAUCCUCUACAUGUAAUUAUUGGCAGAGUCCGGUCAUAUUUUUCGAUAUAUUGUCGGCCUACCGUAGGCGAUAUGAGUCUCACUAGUGUUGAGUAAUGUACUGUUAAAAGUGGUGUAGGUCUUAUUUAUUUAAAGAGCAUAUUGAAGUUAGAAGCAAUAGGAUUUGAAUAGCCUACAACUAUUUUAGCUUGUUUCACGCUGCUCUGAGACAAGCAUGGGGACUGGUCUUGAUAAAUCAAUGCGAUUUUUAUUUUGACUGCAUCUCCGUUUGGGUAUUAGUUAGACUACAAUUAUGGUGUAGAAAUGUUAUGCUCUUAGUGUAACCUUUAUUUAACUAGGCAAGUCAGUUAAGAACAAAUUCUUAUUUACAAGGACAGCCUACUCCUUCCUCCCCGUCGGGGAAUUGAAUCCCAGUCUUCCGCGUGCCCGCAUGACACGGAAGCCAAAUAGCCAAGUACUGUAGUCUACUCCCGACCGUCACGUUGUACAUCGCCAUGUUUCCCGUUCCAUCCAAAUGGAAACCCAGAGGGUUUUUCUUGGAAUAAAAACACCAUAAUAUUAGGCAACAUUUCUUAAAAUCAGUCCCGUUAUUUAAGUGCCAACCACUGGUACCAUUAAUGCUAGUUUGACGUUAGAUGCUGCUAAUGCUACGUUCUUAUAAAAAAAGGUUUGAAAUUCUCUAGUGCAGCCACUACUGAAGGCAAUCAAAUGCUUGUCAAAGAUGCCCUCUGGUGGUCAAGCUAGCAUUAACGGUACCCGUGGUUGGCACUUAAAUAACAUGCUGUGCUGCAGUACGCUGCAACUUUUAAAGGACAAACAACUCUGUGGGAAUUCCUUCAAGACUGUUGGAAAAGCAUUCCAGGAGACUACCUCAUGAAGCUGCUUGAGAGAAGCCGUCAAGGAAAAGGGUGGCUCAAGUAUAAAAUAUAUUUAGAUUUCUUUAACACUCUUUUUUUGGUUACUACCUGAUGUGUUAUUUCAUUAGUUUUGAUGUCUUCACUAUUAUUCUACAAUGUAGAAAAAUUAUGUUUUUUUAAAACUUCAAUGAGUAGGUGUCCAAACUUUUGACUGGUACUGUAUGUGAAAAUCCAUCUACUUGCACAUCCACAACCAUAGGUACACCUGCAUUCACUUGUACAUAUGUCAGGUACUCCUACAUCAUAACUGUAUACAUAUGACCUCACACACACUCAGCCCCAGAUUCUCAUUGCUCUCCCCACUCCACAGUCAGAUGACCAGUAUUACCCAGGGUGACAUCAUCAGUACGCUGCAGUCCCUCAACAUGGUGAAAUACUGGAAAGGCCAGCACGUCAUCUGUGUCACGCCCAAACUGGUUGAGGAACACCUCAAGAGUGCCCAGUACAAGAAGCCGCCAAUCACAGUUGACACUGUGUGUCUGAAGUGGGCCCCACCCAAACAUAAGCAAGCCAAGUUUUCCAAGAAGUGAGGGAAGGUGCUCGUGACAUCGUGCCAGACCACCCAACCAACCCACCCACGCAUGGUAUUUGUUCUCCAAUUCCCUUCUUCCCUCCACUUGUUCUUUGUCCCCAGUUUAAACUAUUUGUUGUGAAGAGGAACCAAUAUGUACAUUACUAGUGUCUUUUUUUCUGUUUUUUAAAUAAACAAGAAUAGUGAUAUUCA